rnacentral:rRNA from 1 species
AACGCUGGCGGCGUGCCUAACACAUGCAAGUCGAACGGAAUCAAGGGGCUUGCUCCUUGAUUUAGUGGCGCACGGGUGAGUAAUGCGUAGAUAAUCUACCUGAUGAUCCGGGAUAACAUUUCGAAAGGGGUGCUAAUACGGGAUAAGCUCACGGGGUCUUCGGACUCUGCGGGAAAAGGGGGGGACCUUCGGGCCUUCUGUCAUCAGAUGAGUCUACGUACCAUUAGCUAGUUGGUGGGGUAAAGGCCUACCAAGGCGACGAUGGUUAGCUGGUCUGAGAGGAUGAUCAGCCACACUGGAACUGAGACACGGUCCAGACUCCUACGGGAGGCAGCAGUGGGGAAUUUUGCGCAAUGGGGGAAACCCUGACGCAGCAACGCCGCGUGAGUGAUGAAGGCCUUCGGGUCGUAAAGCUCUGUCAGAGGGAAAGAAGUGUAGUAUGGUUAAUACCCGUGCUACUUGACGGUACCCUCAAAGGAAGCACCGGCUAACUCCGUGCCAGCAGCCGCGGUAAUACGGAGGGUGCGAGCGUUGUUCGGAUUUAUUGGGCGUAAAGCGCGUGUAGGCGGCUUCUUAAGUCUGAUGUGAAAGCCCUGGGCUCAACCUGGGAAGUGCAUUGGAAACUGGGAAACUUGAAUACGGGAGAGGGUAGUGGAAUUCCUGGUGUAGGAGUGAAAUCCGUAGAUAUCAGGAGGAACACCGGUGGCGAAGGCGGCUACCUGGACCGAUAUUGACGCUGAGACGCGAAAGCGUGGGGAGCAAACAGGAUUAGAUACCCUGGUAGUCCACGCCGUAAACGAUGAGUACUAGGUGUUGCGGGUAUUGACCCCUGCAGUGCCGCAGCUAACGCAUUAAGUACUCCGCCUGGGAAGUACGGGUCGCAGACUA